rnacentral:rRNA from 1 species
AUGGCAACGGUGGCCAGGUCCCCGUCCCCGUCGCCGGCCGCGGCCAGGCCCUGCCCCGCCAUGCGGAGGAGCGCCGACUCCAACCCCUUCAAGCCCGCCGAUUGCCCGUCGCAGAGGAGCUCCACCUCCAAGGGCGGCGGCGGCGUCUGCGGGUGCCACCACUCCUCGCCCUCGCCGCGCCGGAGGUCCCUCUCCUCCUCCUUCGGGGAGAAGGAGAACGAGCCGCGGGACCGCACCCCCAAGCCCGCGGCGCGCUCUGGCGGCCCCAAGAACUUCAUGGCGCCCACCAUCUCCGCCGCGUCCAAGGCCGCCUCGCCCAGGAACAGCACCAGCAAGGUGCUCGGGGAGCGCAACCACGAGACGCCCCACCUCGCGCCCUUCUCCCCCGCCAACCUCGCGCACAAGCCCAAGGGGCCACCGCCCGAGGCGGGAGCCCCGCGCCGCCUGCGCCUCUCCUUCGAGGCCCCUCCCGCGGCCACCGCACCGCACGGCUUGCUCGCCGCGGGGAUGGAGGAUCCCGUGUUAGGCAGCGUGAACCACCACCACGCGGAGGCCAAUUCGGUGGGCGCGGAGCGCAGCCUGCGGCACUCGUUCGAGGCCCCUUCCGCGGCGGCCGCGUGGCACAGCCCGCUCGCUGGAGAUGAUGACGACGCGGGGAUGGAGGAUCCCGUGCGCGUGGGCGUGGGCGUCAACCGCCCGCACGCCGCGGCCGAUCCGGUGGGCGCGGAGCCGUCCCGGGCGGCCCUGUACGACCCCAAGACCAACUACACUUCGCCGCGGCCGCGGUUCCUCCACUACAAGCCCAACCCCCGCGUCGACAUCUACCGGCACGGCGGCGCUGGCGUCAGGCGCCUCGAGGACGGCUUCGCCUCCGCCUCCGCCUCGGAGAGCAGCGACGAAACCGACGCCACUGCCACCACGGAGGACGACCUCACGGAGGAGGAGCAAGGGCAAGCACAGCAAAAUCAUCUGCCGGGGGAACAGCCAGCUCUCGCCGCUCCACCUGAGGCUGCCGAGGCCUGCGUCCUGGCGCCAGAGCCCGCGCCGGGUUCGCCGCCGCCUCCUCUGCUGCUGUCACCGGAGGCUGCUGCGGUGACGCCAGAGCCGGCUCGCGUCCCUGCACCGGAGCCUAGGGCGACUCCUCCGCGAGCCCGUGCACUGACGCCGGAGCCGGAGCAUGGGGCGCGAGCUCCAGCCAAGAAGGGAUCCGCGUUGAGGUUCCUGCUCCCCCUCGCUUUCGUUCUGUUCAUGUCUGCUGCUUCCGUGUGCGUGCUGCUGCAGCCAGAUUCCCCGAUCAUGUCGAGGGCGUCCAGCUUUCUUUCAGUUCAAGAAUCACACCCUGUGGAGUUGGCUGCUUGGCUCAAGCAAUGGCCAAGCAGUUCGUUGGAUUCGAUCACGUCUUACUGGGAGGCCUUGGCUUCCACAUCCACACAAGAGCAAGAGUACUUUGGUCCGCAUUUCGCAGCCAACUGGAGUGCUGCAGCUGCCGAUGGUGACCAUGGUGCUGCUGCUGAUUUCUACUACAACUUCGCCGAGGCAUGGCCAGUGACGAGUGAAGAGCCUAUUAGCAGCGCCAAUGCCUUGCCUGCAGAGCCGGAAGAAGAAUCAGUUGAUGAUGCUGGAGUGGGAGAAGAAUCUGAUGCAUCAGACUACUACGACAUGGUAGUAGAUGAGCUUGAUGUUGAAAUGUCAGAAGAAGCUCCUGGUAGCAGCUAUGGUGCCACUGUCUUGGAGGAGCAGUUGAAGAUCCAGGAUGCAGUUUCUGAAGCAAGCAGUGCUGACUUGAUUGCAGAAUCAGAGGGUGUUGCUGCAGUGGUAGAAGAAGAAUCUGAUGCAUCAGACUACUCCAAGGCAGUAGAUGAGCGGGCAUCAGAAGCAGCUCCAGGUAGCAGCAAUGGCGAAGAGAUCAGUCAGGAUUUGGGCACCCCGUCUGAACCUGCUGAGCUGCGUGAGCAAGAUGUUGAGAGUGAAGAGCCCGAGGACAAUCACGGCAAUGGCAAGGAAGACAAGGAGCCGCAUCUUGGUCUUGAGUCGGAUUCCAGCAUGUCGCCAAGCUACUUGGACAGAAUCUCAAAGCCUGCAGCAGCAGCAGGUGUUGCCAUUGUCGUGGUCAUUCUUUCAGCCAGCAUUGCUGCCCUUUCCAUGAGGAAGAAGCAAGCUCAGGUUGCCACAAGUGCCAAUGCACCAGCUGAGCAAGCCGAGGAAGCUGAGACUCGAUCUGGUUCAGCGAGCAGUGAGGGCCAUCGUCUUGUCAAGUCUCCUCAGGCAGAAGAAACUGAGCGAUUUGGUGACUCUGGUUUCUCUCAGUACAGCAGCAGCUUGUCGUCUGGCCAUGGCCAUGGCAGGGGGAAGACCAAGGAGGAAGAGAACGUCGGCCUCGAGCCCGCGUCCAAGAGGGAGUCCAUGUCAUACUCCACAUCAUCCUAUGGCAGCUUCACGACCUAUGAGAAGAUCGCUGCCAAGAAAAGGAACAAGGAUGAUGAGGCGAUGACCCCGGUCCGGCGCUCCAGCAGGCUGCGGAGUGUCAAAUCACCCGAGGCCGAGUCUAGUUAG